CUCCAACACCAAACUGGGACUGGUGAGACAUGCAGCUGCAUGGAUUGAACUACCAGACUCUUGGCCUUUUAAGAGACAGCCAUUAUUGAUCUACUGGGACCACAGUCUAUAAGGCUCCAGCUGGGUCUCCCAUCUUCAGCUCCAGUCACAUGUCUGCAGAAGUCACCUGUGUGCAAACAGGCUGCCAUCUAAGUGGGAAAGUUCCCUGCAGAGAGCAAGCCUCACUCCUUCACCUCUCCGUUUGCAACAUGAAACGCAGUAAGCACCUGGGUCACUGAUCCAUGAGGAUCACCUGCCUGGGACCACAACACCAACCAUGGGCUGGGCCCUUCUGUACCAAUCAUCCAUCAAGAAAAUGCCCUACAUGUCUGCCUAGAGGCCAAUCUCAUGGAAGCUUUCUCUCCAUUAAGGAUCCCUUUUCUUAGAUGAAUCUGGACUGUGUCAAGAUGAAAAU